UUCAUGUUUCGGUGCAUCGUAUAUUUCUCAUAAUUGUGAGAUUGUGUAUGUCUUUAACCAAUUAUUUUUCUACUUAGCCUUUUUAAAAAUAUCUAAUUAUUGAGAUAUUGUUUCUGUCAGCACAAAUAGUCGUGAUGGCCAGUGGUAGCACAACACGUGUGACCGAUGUGUUAGAGUAUCUAGUACACCACAUUUUUAGAAUAUAAGUAUUCUGAGAUGCUUGUCUGUUAACCUGAAAUCAACUCGAAGACCCGGUAUCCUGAGACUUUUUGAAAGCGUUCUAAGUAGUGUCAGAGAAGGACUUAAUCUCCCUGGAAACCGUUUCGUAGCUAUCCUUUUGUUCCUGGUAACGCCAUUCAAAGUGACACAACCUAUAACCUAUAAAUAGAGACUUGUGCCAUGUGCCAGUCCCUCCACAUUGUCUAAGUAAGACUCCCUGGAUUCCAAUUCUCUUUGAGAUUGAAGUACAUCUUAUUGCUACUACUUUUACUGUGCAACUCUUUUGGACCAUCAACACAGUUAAGCCAAGAGUCGGCAAGUGACGACCAAAGAAGGGCCCUUCUUGGCGGGCUGUGGCGAGCGGUCAGCGUUUUGCGUGUGGGAGGAGCUUCGUGCGCCGAAGCAGCGAUGCAAGAGGAGGAGGAUAGCUCUUCGUAGAGAAGAGGGAGAGCUGCACAAAAGAGUUUGCCAAAGUUCAGCGCGGACCAAAAACGACCCAUAAAAAGAAGAGUGGGUGAGUGGUUGGGUUGGCGAGGUGCCUCGUGCGGCCAGUGUUGUGCUCGUACUCGUCACGUCGCGGUCAAGGAACCUUAUAAGGGGGGAGCCUGAAAUACUGUGCAUUCGUCGCUCACUUCUUAAACGGCUAGAAGUAAGAAGUCCGUCUGUUCCGAAAUUCUGUCGUUUGCUCAGUUGUCAGUGGUUGAAGAAAACCGUUCUUCUAACCAGACAGUUGAAAAAAAAUGUUACAAAUGUUCUGUAAUGAUUUACUUUGAUACUGGCACAUUUAAUGUAAGUUAAUUCUACAGACCAAAACUUUGAUUCAGCAUUCCGUAAAAGCGCAUACGCUUACUGUUAUUACCCUAGU